GACGGGAGCUCUGCUCAGGCUUCAACAUGGCGGGCCGUUUCGGUUGACUUCGCCUGUGGAAACCGAAUUCCCCCUCCAUGGUUUCCCCAGGAUAUGAGUUGGGGGCCUCACCUCGCCUAUAAGGGUCAGGCGAGCUUUCUGGAUGCUCGAGGGACCUUUCGGCCUGCGCAGCCGGAGCAGCUUGUCCCAAUGCCCUGCCAUUUCUGUGAGGGCCCACGAGGCCUGGAGGAGCCUCGGAGCCCCCGCAGGCCCUCGCGUCACUGCCUCAAGAGGGUGCUCGGAGCCCUGCUCGGGAGCUGGUCCCCAACGAGGUGUGGAACCCCUUCUUGCUGGAACUCCACGGAGAGACUGUCCUGCUAGGACCUGCUUCCAGAAGAGUUGAUCCCAGCCGUGAAAGUGCAUGAUGCCUUCAGCGAAGCAGGCAGGAAAGGCUCAAGUGAUCCUCCUGUAUCACCCUGGGUAUCAAGGCCAUUCAGUGGAAAAGAACAGUCUCUUCAGCAAGUGGAUGAAGUUAGAUCUCUUCCUCACAUCAUACAGAAAAAUCAACCUCAAAUGGAAGAAAUAUCUAAAUGAAGCCGAACACUUGAUAAAAAGUUCAUCAGCGUAAAUAAGAAGAAUCCCCUCCAUUACAUACAAAAGAAAAAAUAACUGGAGAGAUCAUCUCUGCUCUAAGCGUGUUUUUAAGUCUCUGCAGUCUUGGACCAAGCUCGUUUUAUUCCCUACUCUACGAGAAUCUCAAGAGCACCAGGAUUCUGUUUGGAGUUGCCAUGGACACAGAGUUCUUAAUCCAGUACUGGCUUAUUCUCAAUACGAGAGAAAGUUGUACUGAAGACACGAGACCUGAGACUUGUGUCAUUUUAGCGGCUGAACCGACCCCAACUUCUUCUGAGCGGCAGUGGCGCCAGAAGCAGUCUGGCUUUCAGUCCCCAUCCUGUUGACCUGGUGGAAGUCAUCAUUGAUAGAGACACCGAUGACAUUCCCCACACAAGUGAACUGACAGGAGGAACCAAGGAAGCAUGUAUCUACGAAAGUGUGUCAGAACGACUUUCCAGGUUUGAAGAUUAUGAAAAUGCUGAAUAUGUCGCUUCAUAUGACAGCAAGAUUAAGAAAAUUGUUCAUUCAAUUGUGUCAUCCUUUGCAGUUGGAAUAUUUGGAGUUUUCCUGAUCUUGUUGGAUGUGGCUCUGAUCUUUGCUGACCUAAUUUUCACUGAUAGCAAAGUUUAUAUUCCUUUGGAGUAUCGUUCUAUUUCUCUAGCUAUUGCUUUAUUUUUUCUCAUGGAUGUUCUUCUUCGAGUAUUUGUAGAAGGGAGACAGCAUUAUUUUUCUGAUUUACUUAACAUUUUAGAUACUGCCGUUACUGUGAUUAUUCUGCUGGUUGAUGUCGUUUACAUUUUUUUUGACGUUAAGUUUCUUAAGGAUAUUCCCAGAUGGACACGUUUAUUUCGACUUCUACGACUUAUCAUUCUGAUAAGAGUUUUUCGUCUGGCUCAUCUAAAAAGACAACUUGGAAAGCUGAUAAGAAGGCUGGUUUCAGGAAACAAAAGGUGAUACGAAAGGGAUGGAUUUGACCUAGACCUCACUUAUAUUACAGAACGUAUUGUCGCUAUGUCAUUUCCAUCUUCGGGAGGCCAGUCUUUCUAUCGGAAUCCAAUUAAGGUGAAAGAGCUUAUGAUCCUAAGCACUUCCAUAAUAGGGUCAGUAGAAUCAUGAUCGAUGAUCAUAAUGUCCCCACUCUACGGGAGAUGGUAGCAUUCUCCAAGGAAGUGUUGGAGUGGAUGGCUCAAGAUUCUGAAAACAUCGUAGUGAUUCACUGUAAAGGAGGCAAAGGAAGAACCGGAACUAUGGUUUGUGCCUGCCUGAUUGCCAGUGAAAUAUUUUUAACUGCAGAGGAAAGAUUGUACUAUUUUGGAGAACGGCGAACAGAUAAAACCAAUGGCACUAAAUAUCAGGGAGUAGAAACUCCUUCUCAGAAUAGAUAUGUUGGAUAUUUUGCACAAGUGAAACAUAGCUACAACUGGAAUCUCCCUCCAAGAAAAACACUGUUUAUAAAAAGAUUAGUUAUUUAUUCGAUUCAUGGUGUUGGAACAGGCGAUGGAUAUGAUCUAAAAGUCCAAAUAGUAAUGAAGAAAAAGAUUGUCUUUUCCUGCACUUCCUUAAACAGUUGUCGGGUAUUUCAUGACACUGAAACAGACAGGGUAAUAAUUGAUGUGUUCAACUGUCCACCUCUGUAUGAUGAUGUGAAAGUGCAAGCUUCCUCUUCGGAUUUUCCUAAAUACUAUCACAACUACCCUUUUUUCUUCUGGUUUAACACAUCUUUAAUACAAAAUAACAAGCUUUAUCUACAAAGAAAUGAAUUGGAUAAUCUUCAUAAACAAAAAACUGGAAAAUUUAUCAACCAGAAUAUGCAGUAGAGACAUAUUUUGAUGAGAAAUGACUUAAGUUAUGUUGUAACUGGUAGCUGAUUAAGUAUAGUUCCCUGCACCCCUUCUGGGAAAGAAUUAUGUUCUUUCUAACCCUGCCACAUAGUUAUAUGUUCUAAAUCUUCCUUGCUGGUACAUCUAUAUUGAUAUAUGUAUACACAUGUUCUUUAUAAAUCUAUUAAAUAUAUACAGAUAAAA